GAGGAACAUAAAAAUCAUUCUUAGCCCAGAAGCCAGACCAAAACAGGUUGUGGGCUGUAGUGUCCUGACCCCUGAUUUAAAGAUUGAUAGCUUUGAAAUGGAAAGUUUUUAACUUUCUUCUUUUUUUUUUCUUUCCCUUGUUCUGAUUGGGCUGUUAAUUCAUUAGGUAUUUACUCAGUGUGUAUCAUAUGAGGCAUGAUUCCUCUGCUAAUUUUGGUAGUGGUAGAAAGAUACUUUUGCCAAGCUUGGUUGUUAGGUUUUCAUUUGCAAGAAUCAGGAAGAUAUACAUGUAUAUAGUAGUAAUAUGGAGUAGUGUGGUUGAUCAGACUUAAGCACUGUCAUUGAUGCUGAUAUGCUGGGAGAACCUAGUCAGGGUUCUUCUAUGAAGGUAUGACCUGGCUUCCUACCCCAUUUAUUUAUAUUUCACCCUUCUUAGGGUACAUUUCUGUGAGUUUUAACAAUUGCAUACAAUCAGUGUAACUACCACCACAAUCAAGAUAAUAGAACAGUUUCAUUGCCCACCAAAAUCCCUCAAAUCACUUUUCAGUGAACCCUCCUCUCUCUCCAACCAUUGAUUUGUCUUCCAUCCUUACGGUUUGUGUCCUUCCUCCUCUAUGGAAGUUUACUCUUGCUUUUUUAUGUCAUGUUUAGUCAAAAUACCGUUAGUUGGUAUGACUGAUAACACUUGAAAACCUGACCUUCUGUUCCUUCUGUUCUCUACGGAAGCAAAAUAUUAAAUAAACAAAAUCUUCCUUUAAUACAUGUAAGAUAUCAUAAACCUAACUAAACAUUUUGCAACAAAUAAUAAACGUUAGCUUUAUAUGCAAAUGUAAAUACAGGCUGAGCAUCCCUAAUCGGAAAUGCUCCAAAAUUUCAUAUUUUGAAUUAGGGAUGUUCAAGCACUAAUAAGGAAAAUAUCCCCAAAUCCGAAAAAAUCCACAGUCUAAAAUACUUCUGGUCCCAAGCAUUUUAGAUAAGGAAGAUUCAGUUUGUACUAAUUUCUAAUAGUUUUUUUUUUAAUAUUCCAGAUUUCUUUUGACGGAAUCUAUGCAAAUAUGAGGAUGGUUCAUAUACUUACGUCAGUUGUUGUAAGUUAUUAGAUUAUGGGGGAUAAACUGCCUUGGGGGUAGAAUAAAGUAAUUCCAUGAAGUUAAAAUGUGGAUAAAUGAUUGUCAAAGUAACAUUGCUUAGAUCAUGUUUAGUCAGGAUGAUUUAGAGAAAUAGAUUAGAACUCCCUUUAUCCAGUCUAAUAUAAUUCAUUGUAAAAGUACAGUUGGUCCUCUGCAUCUGUGGGUUCCAUAUUCAUGGAUUCAGCCAACCUUGGAUCAAAAAUAUUUGUUAAAAAGGCCAGGCGCAGUGACUCACACCUGUAAUCCCAGCACUUUGGGAGUUUGAGGUGGGCAGAUGGCUUGAGCUCACAAGUUUAAGACCAGCCUGGGCAACAUGGCAGAACUCUGUCUCUACAAAAAGUAAAAAAAACUAGCCGAACGUGGUGGUACGUGCCUGUAGUCCUAGUGACUUGGGAGGCUGACGUGGGAGGAUUGUUUGAGCCUGGGAGGUGGAGCUUUCACUGAGCUGAGAUAAUGCCCCUGCACUCAGCCUGGUCAACAGUGCCAGACAGAACCCUUCUCAAAAAAAAAAAAAAAAAAAUCUUUUUUUUGAGAAAAAAGAUGCAUGGUUGCAUCUGAACCAAAGAUGUAUGGACGUUUUUCUUGUCAUUAUUCCUAAAACAAUACAGUAUGACAAUUUACAUAGCAUUUACAUUAUAUUAGGUAUUACAAGUAAUUUAGGGAUAGUUUAAAGUAUUUGGGAGAAUGUGCUUAGUUAUAUUCAAAUACUAUUACAUUUUAUGUAAGUGACUGAAGUAUUAUGUAAUUCGGUAUCUGAAGGAGGUCCUGGAACCAAUCCCCUACCAAUAACAACAGAUAGCUGUAUUCUUGUUAACCCUGCUGUGUGUGUAAAAUAAUGUUAGUAGUUGAUUGUCUUUUGUCCAUUAUUUUGUCACUUAAAAUAGCUGGGGUCAGAAAUGUUUGACUUCAGUAUUAAAAUUCGUACUGCAAACUCUGAGUAGAGCCUCCUGAAGAAUUUUGAGAGUUCAGUGUAUUGUUAAUGUUUUGAAAUUUUUUUAUUGUUUUGUUAGUGAAUACCUAAUAUUGAAUGAAGCCCGAUGAGGUAUAAAAAGUAAAAUGAAAACAAAUAUCCCUGGUGACCGGGUAGUAUACUGUUUCUUUGAUAAAUAAAUUAUAUGUUUUUAGGGCUCCAAAUGUGAAGUACAAGUGAAAAAUGGAGGUAUAUAUGAAGGAGUUUUUAAAACUUACAGUCCGAAGGUAAUUUUUACUUUUUUUCUUUUUCUUACAAAGUAAAAGAACAUUUUCGUAGUCAGUGUUUUACCUAGUUUUUAAAGCCACUUUGAAUGAUUUUACUUCUCAGUUUCAAAUACUGAUUAUUUUAUAGACUGGUUUGUGUAAUCAGAGAGGCUUCUUGAUGUGUGCGCUUAUUAAAAUAUUUCAACCAUUUUUAAGCAUUGUGAACUAAUAGAGGGAUGUGGUGGUUUAUUUUUUCCUCUUAAAAAUUAUUAUUAAUAUACUUAAGACAAACCAUAGCAACAAAAAACAUUUAGAUAUGAGGAUUUUUAAAUGAUGGAAUGGAUAAUAGAUCAUAUGCCUGGGAAAAAGGGUAUGAUUCUCUUGAGAUUAUUUUUGUCAAAGGCAUAUAAGAACUGGUACCUUGAUGAGCUAAAGAAUUCCUAACAAAUUUUAUUUUGUAAAGAUUUGGAAUACUCACUUGUGUUUUUCAUUUUAGUGUGAUUUGGUACUUGAUGCCGCACAUGAGAAAAGUACAGAAUCCAGUUCGGGGCCGAAACGUGAAGAAAUAAUGGAGAGUAUUUUGUUCAAAUGUUCAGACUUUGUUGUGGUACAGUUUAAAGAUAUGGACUCCAGUUAUGCAAAAAGAGGUGGGUUUUGAUUUCCUAAAUAUGCCUCAUGGUUUAUUAGAUUUAUUCAAGCAAAGAUUUUCACAGUGAUCUUACAAACUUUUUUUAAAGAAUUAUCUGGGCUGGGUAUGGUGGCUCAUUCCUGUAAUCUUAGCACUUAGGGAGGC
rnacentral:lncRNA from 1 species